rnacentral:lncRNA from 1 species
CUAGGAAAAGGGCAAUGGAAUCAAAGCCUUUAAAAAAUGUAGUAAGAGAAAGACUCUCUAAUUGAUCAGAACCUUCUGGCAACCAGCACUUUGGCCCAUCUACUGAAAAAUACUUUAUCAGUGUCUUUAGUAAAGGCCCCCAAGAUGCACAAUACAUUUUUGGUUGUUGAAAUAGAGUGUCUUCUAAGUCAUCAAGUAAAAGAGAAAUUCUGCUCAGAAGACUUUUGGAUAGUACCCAACAUUUGGUGAGGCUUACUAUAUUACAUGCAUUACCUCGCUAAAUCACCACAUUAGAACACUUACAGGAGAAGACAUGCUGUAAAAAAUAAGGCAAGGCUAUGUCUGAUGGAUUUCUAGACUGCACAGUCCAGUAGAUUACAUGAGAGGAUCAAUAAU